rnacentral:rRNA from 1 species
UGAAUACGAGAUGCUACGGCGUCGAAGCAGUCUAUGUCAUACUUCCAAGAAAAGCUUGCACUGUCAUAAACAAAUAAUGCCUGUACCAUAACCGACACAGGUGGGUAGGUAGAGUAUACUAAGGGGCGCGAGAUAACUCUCUCUAAGGAACUCGGCAAAAUGACUCCGUAACUUCGGGAGAAGGAGUGCCUUAUUUAUAAGGUUGCAAUAACAAGAUCCAAGCAACUGUUUACCAAAAACACAGGUCUCCGCUAAGUCGUAAGACGAUGUAUGGGGGCUGACGCCUGCCCAGUGCCAGAAGGUUAAAGAAGUUGGUUAGCAUCCGCGAAGCUGAUAACUGAAGCCCUGGUGAACGGCGGCCGUAACAAUAACGGUCCUAAGGUAGCGAAAUUCCUUGUCGGGUAAGUUCCGACCCGCACGAAAGGCGUAAUGAUUUGGAUACUGUCUCGGAGAGGGGCUCGGUGAAAUAGACUUGUCUGUGAAGAUGCGGACUACCUGCACCAGGACAGAAAGACCCUAUGAAGCUUUACUGUAACCUGAAAUUGAAAUUGGACUUUACUUGCGCAGUAUAGGUGGGAGGCGUUGAGAAUAUUCUUGCGGGAUUAUUGGAGCCAUCAGUGAGAUACCACUCUUGUAAUGUUAGAUUUCUAACUUUGUAUCAUUAUCUGGUCAAAGAACAGUUUCAGGCGGGCAGUUUGACUGGGGCGGUGGCCUCCUAAACGGUAACGGAGGCGCACAAAGGUUUCCUCUGAACGGGUAGAAAUCGUAUCUAGAGUGUAAAGGCAUAAGGAAGCUUGACUGUGAGACCUACAAGUCGAGCAGGGACGAAAGUCGGUCUUAGUGAUCUGACGGUGCUGAGUGGAAAGGCCGUCACUCAACGGAUAAAAGUUACUCUAGGAUAACAGGCUGAUCUCCCCCAAGAGUUCACACCGACGGGGAGGUUUGGCACCUCGAUGUCGGCUCAUCGCAUCCUGGGGCGGUAGUACGUCCCAAGGGUUGGGCUGUUCGCCCAUGAAAGCGGUACGCGAGCUGGGUUCAGAACGUCGUGAGACAGUUCGGUCCAUAUCCGGUGUAGGCGUUAGAAUAUUGAGAGGAGCCUUCUUUAGUACGAGAGGACCGAGAAGGACAUACCUCUGGUGUACCAGUUAUCGUGCCAACGGUAAACGCUGGGUAGCUAUGUGUGGAGUGGAUAACCGCUGAAAGCAUCUAAGUGGGAAGCCCACCUCAAGAUGAGUAUUCUGGUGUAAGGUCACGGGAAGACGACCCGUAAAUAGGCACGAGGUGGAAGUGCAGAGAUGUAUGAAGCCGAAGUGUACUAAUAGACCGUCGGCUUGACC